GUCUACGGCCAUGCCACCCUGAACAAGCCCGAUCCUGUCUGAUCUCAGAAGCUAAGCAGGGUAGAACCUGGUUAUACUUGGAUGGGAGACCACCUAGUAAGACUGGGUGCUAUAGGCA
rnacentral:rRNA from 1 species